rfam:Triticum urartu cultivar G1812 contig674915, whole genome shotgun sequence.
CAGGUACUCCCUCCGUCCGGAAAUACUUAUCAUCAAAAUAAAUAAAAGGGGAUGUAUCUAGAUGUGUUUUAGUUUUAGAUACAUCCCUAUUUGUCCAUUUUGAUGACAAAUAUUUUGGGAUGGAAGGAGUAUCAA